rnacentral:sRNA from 10 species
CAAGAGAAAUUCACAAAAUUUCAAAGAAUCAAGUGACAAAAGGUGGUGAAUCCUCCGAUAAGGGCAAAGAAAUUGUACCCAAGGAUCGAUAGUCGGAGUACUCUAAAAAUUUGACUCUCGAAAUACUUGCUGCAAUGGGCGGGUUCUAUGGACCAGCCUAUUAGAGGGGCACGGAAUCCGAUUAUAUACAUACCUCGAUUGAAGAGGCGCGUAGGGUAUCUCCUGAGGUAUGGUUAGAGUUCACGUCACGCCGAACCACCUCGUGAUGAUGA